AUAAAGUUCUAGCUUUUAUUUUGAAUGCUGACGUCGUAGCUACACAACGGUUGUUUACCUGACUCCAGCCUUCACCGUUUCCCUGCUGUAUUGGCCUCUCCUCUGGCCAGUUCUCUACGUCCACCGACUGCUUGGAUUCCAGCUAGUCGCUGAACAUGGGCCUUUAUAACUGACCACAGCUGAGCGAUCUCGGGCAUAACAGGGAGCGGCAACAUCAAGGCAUCUUGGUUCCAGUUCCGACGAACGCUGCUGUUUUGUUUUGUUUGGUGUUGUAUUGUUUGUUUCAUUCCGUUUGUUGCAUCGGCUGUGUUUAGCCACCACGAAGUUGAGUGACGACAGGUGUGUUACGGUUUGCUAUCCGAGUGACUACGAAUUCAGUCCGGUUACGGAGGCUAUUCUUUAUCUUGUGUACACUGUGUGUCAUGCGUGGAGUGAUUGUGCCAAUUAACACUGUUUGCCGUGAGUGCAUUGAGUGCCAUUUAUUCACGAGUGUCUCAUUCCCUGAAUAGUCACCUCUACUGACUUAAGCGAACUCACUCUGGAGAGUUAGCGAACCCACACUGGAGAGUAUUAGGCUACUGACUUGAGCGAACCCACACUGGAGAGAACUCACUCCCGAUGUUUUAAUGAUGAUAAUAAA